rnacentral:rRNA from 1 species
UGGGGAAUAUUGUGCAAUGGGGGAAACCCUGACACAGCGACGCCGCGUGAGCGAAGAAGGCCUUCGGGUCGUAAAGCCCAAUAGUAUGGGAAGAAAUAAAUGACGGUACCAUACGAAAGCCCCGGCUAACUACGUGCCAGCAGCCGCGGUAAUACGUAGGGGGCGAGCGUUGUCCGGAAUUACUGGGCGUAAAGAGCACGUAGGCGGCUAUAAAAGUCAGAUGUGAAAAACCUGGGCUCAACCGAGGGUGUGCAUCUGAAACUAAAUAGCUUGAGUCAAGGAGAGGAGAGCGGAAUUCCUGGUGUAGCGGUGAAAUGCGUAGAGAUCAGGAAGAAUACCAGUGGCGAAAGCGGCUCUCUGGACUUGAACUGACGCUGAGGUGCGAAAGCGUGGGGAGCAAACAGG